UACGAAGGGGGCUAGCGUUGCUCGGAAUGACUGGGCGUAAAGGGCGCGUAGGCGGUUUGUACAGUCAGGUGUGAAAUUCCCGGGCUCAACCUGGGGGCUGCACUUGAUACGUAUGGACUGGAGUGGGGAAGAGGGUCGUGGAAUUCCCAGUGUAGAGGUGAAAUUCGUAGAUAUCGGGAGGAACACCAGUGGCGAAGGCGGCGAUCUGGGUAGAUACUGACGCUGAGGUGCGAAAGCGUGGGGAGCAAACAGG
rnacentral:rRNA from 1 species